rnacentral:rRNA from 1 species
UCCGUAGGUGAACCUGCGGAGGGAGCUCACG